rnacentral:rRNA from 1 species
AACGAACGCUGGCGGCAGGCCUAACACAUGCAAGUCGAGCGCCCCGCCAGGGGAGCGGCGGCCGGGUGAGUAACGCGUGGGAAUAUGCCCUUUGCUACGGAAUAGUCUCGGGAAACUGGGGUUAAUACCGUAUACGCCCCUUGGGGGAAAGAUUUAUCGGCGAAGGAUUAGCCCGCGUUGGAUUAGGUAGUUGGUGGGGUAAUGGCCUACCAAGCCGACGAUCCAUAGCUGGUUUGAGAGGAUGAUCAGCCACACUGGGACUGAGACACGGCCCAGACUCCUACGGGAGGCAGCAGUGGGGAAUCUUAGACAAUGGGGGCAACCCUGAUCUAGCCAUGCCGCGUGAGUGAUGAAGGCCUUAGGGUUGUAAAGCUCUUUCAGCUGGGAAGAUAAUGACGGUACCAGCAGAAGAAGCCCCGGCUAACUCCGUG